rnacentral:rRNA from 1 species
CCUACGGGAGGCAGCAGUGGGGAAUAUUGCACAAUGGGCGCAAGCCUGAUGCAGCCAUGCCGCGUGUGUGAAGAAGGCCUUCGGGUUGUAAAGCACUUUCAGCGGGGAGGAAGGCGUUAAGGUUAAUAACCUUGGCGAUUGACGUUACCCGCAGAAGAAGCACCGGCUAACUCCGUGCCAGCAGCCGCGGUAAUACGGAGGGUGCAAGCGUUAAUCGGAAUUACUGGGCGUAAAGCGCACGCAGGCGGUCUGUCAAGUCGGAUGUGAAAUCCCCGGGCUCAACCUGGGAACUGCAUUCGAAACUGGCAGGCUAGAGUCUUGUAGAGGGGGGUAGAAUUCCAGGUGUAGCGGUGAAAUGCGUAGAGAUCUGGAGGAAUACCGGUGGCGAAGGCGGCCCCCUGGACAAAGACUGACGCUCAGGUGCGAAAGCGUGGGGAGCAAACAGGAUUUAGAUACCCGAGUAGUC